ACUAAGCAUAUACAAUUGAGGUACCACUACAUACGAUCCGCCAUGGAAGAUGGACAUUUGAAGUUGGAAAAGAUACACACUAGCUAGAAUCCUACAGACAUGUUAACAAAGGGAGUAACCAAGGAGAAACUCAAUUCUUGCUCAGUUUCAGUUGGUCUUCAAGCUUGAAGAUGAAGAUGAUAAAUUUUCCAGGUCCAAGAAGGUUCAUAGUCCAGUAGAUACAACAGUGAUAGAGUUGUUGAAAUCAGUCUCCAAGUGGGAGAUUGUUGGUUAUGGAGUCUGAUUAUCUUCCUGAUUCAGAGGUCUUUGAUUUCAGCCGUGUUUAUACCCCAUGAAGACUUUACACCCCAGAAGAAUGUACACUCUUCCACGCAGGGGACUGCAUAGGGGGGUUACCCCCUCUACGGGGUCUGGGGGCAAGUAGGCCCUCAGGCUGGGGUUCGGGGGCGAAGCACCCAAAGGAAAAAUUGUCUUGUAAAUGUACAUUGUAAUUUCAUUGUAAAUCUUGACUGUUCAUUACAAGGUCGUAGAUCUAACGAUAGAAAUUAUGUUAGGGUUUUUUUCCCUAGAAGGUAACCCUCUGUUAUGAGGGAAAUGUAUUGCGGCUAUGCAUGAGAGUGAAUAUUGUAUUCUAAGAUAGGAGAGUAUGAAAUAAAGAAGAGGAAGUUACAAUGGGUUUGUUGUAGGUUGUAUCCCUUCGAUUGCUGGAUAAUAAUAAAGGAAGGACCUGGCAAUUUCUUUGGUGGAUGUAGCCCACAUUGGCUGAACCACAUAUAUCUGUGUCUCUAUUGUAUUGUGUAUCUUUUGUAUUUUAUUUCUGCAUUUGUUUUAUUUUAUUGCUUCGCGAUCAUGUUUUUCUAACAAUACACACUUUCUAUGCCCCCUUAUGUCUUCCUCUCUCUCCCAUCGACACUCUAACAAACUCACUCUCUACCUCCCCUCAUUGUCUUCCUCUCUCUCCCUCCCACACUCUCACACAUACACUUUCUAUACCCUCUCUAUGUCUCCCUCUCCCUCCCUCUCACACAGACUUUCUAUCCCCCCGCUAUGUCUUCCUCUCGUCCACAAAGAUCCUGGGGGAUCCAAAUAUGCUCAAAAUUCGAGUAUCUCAAAUUCUCUCUUUAUUGGCAUCAAUGCAUAGAACUCGUUGUCAACUUUCCAACAACACAAACGACGCUUCAAAUGGAGCUAGUAUGCAAAAGUUAUCGUCGAGCAAAGUUUGAGGUAAAACAAACAAAAAGUCAAAAGUGACAUGUGACACAACCAUACAAGUACAUGUGGCAUGAUCCUACAACUACACAUGGUAGAUUAUGACGAGGUGAUGUGUCCCAGUCUUCAGUUGACAUGUGGCAUUAAUAGCCAAUGAGAGGUUUCCAUGUGGAAACCUCCCAAACAUGGUAGAUUAAAACAAGAAUGUAGAUUAUGACGAGGUGAUGUGUCCCAGUUUUCAGUUGUCAUGUGACAUUAAUAGCCAAUAAGAGGUUGCCAUGUGGAAACCUCCCACACAUGGUAGAUUAAAACAAGAAUGAGAGGUUGCGAUGUGGAAACCUCCCACACAUGGUAGAUUAAAACAAGAUGAUGUGUUCUAGUCUUCAGUUGACACGUGGCAUUAAUAGCCAAUGAGAGGUUGCCAUGUGGAAACCUCCCACACAUGGUAGAUUAAAACAAAAAUGAGAAGUUGCCAUGUGGAAACCUCCCACACAAGUGGUAGAUUAAAACAAGAUGAUGUGUUCUAGUCUUCAGUGGUCACAUGGAAUUAAUUAGCCAAUGAGAGGUUGCCAUGUGGAAACCUCCCAUUGGUCAUUUACGAUUGAGUUUCAUUAGAAUAAGCGAGGGGAAUCGAACCCCCGACCACUUGCUCGGUUCUCUAUCCUUGUCGGGUAAGUUCUGACCUGCACAAAAGGCGUAACGAUCUGGGCACUGUCUCGGAGAGAGACUCGGUGAAAUAGACAUGUCUGUGAAGAUGCAGACUACCUGCACUUGGACAGAAAGACCCUAUGAAGCUUUACUAUUCCCUGGGAUUGUCUUUGGGUUCUUCUUGCGCAGCUUAGGUGGAAGGCGAAGAAGGCUCCCUCUCGGGGGGGCCUGAGCCACCAGUGAGAUACCACUCUGGAAGAGCUAGAAUUCUAACCUUGUGUCAGGACCUACAGGCCAAGGCACAGUCUCAGGUAGACAGUUUCUUUGGGGCAUAGGCCUCCCAAAAGGUAACAGAGGCAUGCAAAGGUUUCCUCAGGCCGGACGGAAAUCGGCCCUCGAGUGCAAAGGCAGAAGGGAGCUUGACUGCAAGACCCACCCGUCGAGCAGGGAUGAAAGUCAGCCUUGGUGAUCCGACGGUGCCGAGUGGAAGGGUCGUCACUCAACGGAUAAAAGUUAUUCUAGGGAUAACAGGUUGAUCUUCCCCAAGAGUUCACAUCGAUGGGAAGGUUUGGCACCUCGAUGUCGGCUCUCUACCACCUGGGGCGGUAGUACGUUCCAAGGGUUGGGUUGUUCGCCCAUUAAAGCGGUACGUGACCUGGGUUCAGAACGUCGUGAGACAGUUCGGUCCAUAUCCGGUGUGGGUGUUAGAGCAUUGAGAGGACCUUUCCCUAGUACGAGAGGACCAAGAAGGAUGCACCUCUGGUGUACCAGUUAUCGUGCCCAUGGUAGACGCUGGGUAGCCAAGUGCAAAGCGGAUAACUACUGAAAGCAUAUAAGUAGGAAGCCCAUCCCAA
rnacentral:rRNA from 1 species